CCUUGAGCCUGAGCAAACAGACAGCUCUCCCUCUGCUCCUGACUGUGCCUGGGCCUCAGUCCCACCUGGAGGUUUCAAAGGGACACGCCUUCCUCUCGGGGUGGACUCGUCCCGCUUCUUGUGCAUCCAUGAACUGAAGGGGUGUCGGAGCUGGGGUCUCCUCCUCCCUACCUCCCCCUGCCCUUGCCCGAGGGGGAAGCACCUGCUGGGACUCCUGGCCAGGAAGUGGCUGGGGACGAGCGGAAGAGAGAGAGAUGCCCGAGGAGGCCGAGGGCGAGGAGCAGGCUGGAGAAGGGCCAGAGGCGGGACGUGAGCAGGCGGACGGAGAUUGGGCGGAGAGGGGGCAAACGGAUGGGCCCGGUGUAAAGGGGAUCCUGGGGCUCUCCGGGAAGACCACAGCCUUGCGUAGCGACAACCCCCAGAGGAAGAGGGACUACCUGUGCCUGGCUCCGCUCUGGCUGGCCCUGGUGACCCUGGCUGCUGCCGGAGUUCUGAUCUGGUAUUUCCUAGGCUUCAAGGAGGAGGGGACCAGCAGCCGGCUGUACUCGGGCAGUGUCGCCGUGCUCGAUCGCCAGUUCUUCCCAGACCUCGCCAACCACGAGUCCGGUGCCUUUCGCAGCGAAAUAGCCAAAGCCCAGAUCAUGCUGAAAGAACUCAUCUCCGCCACUCGCCUCUCCGCAUAUUACAACUCCAGCACGGUGUACUCCUUCGGGGCAAAGCCUCUGACCUGCUUCUUCUGGUUCAUCCUACAAGUCCCCAACAGCAAAGUCCAGAAGAUGAGCCCAGACUGGGUAAAGGAGGUGCUGGUGGAUGAGCUGAAGGCACGGGCCAAUGCUUCGGACGCCCUGCCCCAGGAUGACCAGUAUGAGAUGGAUCCCGGCACUCUGACACUCCUGGAGGCCAGCUUGAGAGACAUAAUUGUGCUGAAUUCCACGCUGGGCUGCUACCGGUACAGCUACGUCGAGGAAGGUGAGAUCCGCCACCUCAAAGGCCCCGACUACCUGUCCUCCAGCUGCUUGUGGCAUCUCCAGGGCCCCCGGGACCACAUGAUCAAGCUCCACCUGGAGUGGACCCUGCCCGAGUGCCGAGACCGCCUGGUCAUGUACGACGUGCCCGGACCCCAGGAAAGCCGCCUCAUCGCCUUACUAUACGGGUGCAGCCGUGUGGAGCCGGCGCUGGACGUUCUCUCCUCAGGGCCGGUCAUGUCGGUGGUUUGGAAGAAGGGACUUUACAGCUACGACGACCCUUUCACCUUGGCGGCUCAAGCGGUGCCCUUCCAGGUGUGUGCCAUGAACCUGACGCUGGAAGAGAGUCUGGAGCUUCAGGGACCCAUCAGGACCCCCUACUACCCCAGCUACUACUCUCCCAGCACGCACUGCACUUGGCAUCUGAAGGUCCCAUCCCCCGAUUACGGCGUGGCCCUGUGGUUUGACUCCUACGCGCUCCAGAGAGGGAAGAAGAGCGGACUGUGCACGCAGGGGCAGUGGACGAUACAGAACCGAAGGAUGUGUGGCCAGCGGAUCCUGAAUGCCUACGCCGAGAGGAUCCCCGUCGUCACGGCCGCCGGCCUCACCAUCAACUUCACUUCCCAGAUCUCGCUCACGGGCCCCGGACUGCAGGCGCACUACAGCCUGUACAACACAUCGGACCCCUGCCCUGGGGCAUUCCUCUGCCCCCUGAACGGCCUCUGUGUCCCAGGCUGUGACGGGAUCAAGGACUGCGGCUCAGGGAUGGAUGAGAGGAACUGUGUCUGCCCGGCCAAGUUCCAGUGCCCAGAGGACAGUGCCUGCAUCGCUCUCCCCAAAGUCUGCGACCGGCACUUGGACUGCGUCGACGGGAGUGAUGAGCAGCAUUGCAACCACACGGUGCCCUGUGGGGCUUUCACGUUUAAGUGUGCCGACGGCAGUUGUGUGAAGAAGCCCAAUCCUCAGUGCGAUGAUUUGCCCGACUGCCCGGACCAAUCCGAUGAACUGCACUGCGACUGCGGCCUGCAGGCACCCACCAAUCGCAUCCUGGGUGGCUUCAACUCGGUGGAAGGAGAGUGGCCGUGGCAGGCCAGCCUGCAGGCGCAGGGCCGCCACAUCUGCGGCGGGAGCCUCAUCGCCGACCGCUGGGUGCUGUCCGCCGCCCACUGCUUCCAGAAGGACAGCCUGGCUCUCCCGGCUGUCUGGACCGUGUACUUGGGCAAGCUCCAGCAGAAUUCCAGCCGGGCCAGCGAGGUAUCCUUCAAGGUGAGCCGCCUGCUGCUGCACCCCUACUACGAGGAGGACACCCACGACUACGACGUGGCCCUGCUCCAGCUCGACCACCCCGUGGUGCGCUCGCCCGUGGUGCGGCCCCUCUGCCUGCCCGCCCCCACCCACUUCUUUGAGCCCGGCCUCAAGUGCUGGGUCACCGGCUGGGGGGCGCUCCGGGAAGGAGGAACCAGGAAGACAGUGCAUGAGAGAGACGGAGAGACAGAGAUGGAGGCAGGCGCGGAGACCAGAGAUAAAGACCCAGAGCGAGACAGAGGGGCACGGAGAGAUGGGGGAGCGAAAAAGACAGGGCUCCUUCAGCAACACCCUGCAGAAGGUGGACGUGCAGAUCGUGCACCAGGACCUGUGUGACGAGGCCUAUCGCUUCAGCAUCACGCCCCGCAUGAUGUGCGCCGGCUACCGGAAGGGAAAGAAGGAUUCUUGCCAGGGAGAUUCGGGGAGCCCCCUCGUCUGCAAAGAGCCCAGUGGCAGGUGGUUCCUGGCCGGCCUGGUCAGCUGGGGCCUGGGCUGCGGUCGUCCCAAUUAUUUUGGGGUCUACACCAGGAUCUCACGCGUGCUGGACUGGAUCAAACAGGAGAUGUCCUGAACAGCAGGAUCCUGCCCGUCCUCCACCGUCCCCACGGUUCCUGCUGUUCCACCCCAGAGCCAGCUGCAAGGGGAAUAAACCUGCCGCAGUAGCC